UACAGAGGGUGCGAGCGUUAAUCGGAAUUACUGGGCGUAAAGCGUGCGUAGACGGUAGCGUAAGUCAGAUGUGAAAGCCCCGGGCUCAACCUGGGAACUGCAUUUGAGACUGCUCUGCUCGGGUGCGGAAGAGGGAAGCGGAAUUUCCGGUGUAGCGGUGAAAUGCGUAGAUAUCGGAAGGAACACCAGUGGCGAAAGCGGCUUCCUGGUCCGACACCGACGUUCAGGCACGAAAGCGUGGGGAGCAAACAGG
rnacentral:rRNA from 1 species